GAGGAUUCUGGGCUGACAAUUUUGUUCACCCAUCAUCAGGCAGGCUGUUUGAGAGCUGGAAACACCUGGCCAACCAUACCUGCUUCCCGGCACAGCCCUUCAACCAUGCCUAAGUCAGAUCUUCUCUGCGUGUUUGCUUUUUUUUGCCUGCCAUGGUGCAGCGGCUUGUGUCUCACCCUGGAUGUUUAUAGACUGGUGUCUGCUCAGCCACAUGACACCCACGGCCAUCUUCCUGCCUCUCUGCCACUGCUGGCACUCCCCACCCCCAAGGCAAAGGACGGUGACAAAGCCUGACUUUGAAGACCACCCCAGGAAGCCAAAAAAGCCCAGAGGGUCUGUCUGCAAGACCCAAGACCAGGAGCAGUCACAUUUACGGUUAAGGGUGCCUCCACUGCCCCUCUGCUCCAGCCUCGCUUCUGACCCAGAGAACUCCGGUGAGGGCUCUCUAGGAGAGCGACUGGUCAGCCCUCCAGAGAGACACAGGCCACCACCCCAGCUCCGGUCAACUCACCUGCAGGUC